UACGAAGGGGGCUAGCGUUGUUCGGAAUUACUGGGCGUAAAGGGCGCGUAGGCGGUGUGUCAAGUCAGGCGUGAAAGCCCCGGGCUCAACCUGGGAACCGCGCUUGAGACUGGCACGCUAGAGUUCGGGAGAGGAUGGUGGAAUUUCCAGUGUAGAGGUGAAAUUCGUAGAUAUUGGGAAGAACACCGAUGGCGAAGGCAGCCAUCUGGACCGACACUGACGCUGAGGCGCGAAAGCGUGGGGAGCAAACAGG
rnacentral:rRNA from 1 species